CUCAGUUCGGAUUGGAGUCUGNAACCCGACUCCAUGAAGCUGGAUUCGCUAGUAAUCGCGCAUCAGCCACGGCGCGGUGAAUACGUUCCCGGGCCUUGUACACACCGCCCGUCAAGCCAUGGAAGCCGGGAAUGCCUGAAGUGCGUGAGCGCAAGCAGCGCCCUAAGGUAAAACCGGUGACUGGGGCUAAGUCGUAACAAGGUACC
rnacentral:rRNA from 1 species